rnacentral:rRNA from 1 species
AUUGAACGCUAGCGGCAUGCUUUACACAUGCAAGUCGAACGGUAGCAGGUCUUUUUCGGAAGAUGCUGACGAGUGGCGAACGGGUGAGUAAUGCGUAGGAAUCUACCUGAAAGAGAGGAAUAGUUAGUGGAAACAUUAAGUAAUACCUCAUAUAUCCGUAUAGGAAAAAGCAGGGGACUUUUUAUAAGCCUUGCGCUUUCAGAGGAGCUUACGUCGGAUUAACUAGUUGGUAGGGUAAAGGCCUACCAAGGUAACGAUCCGUAGCUGGUCUGAGAGGAUGAUCAGCCACACUGGGAUUGAGAUACGGCCCAGACUCCUACGGGAGGCAGCAGUGGGGAAUAUUGGACAAUGGGCGCAAGCCUGAUCCAGCAAUGCCGCGUGUGUGAAGAAGGCCUUAGGGUUGUAAAGCACUUUCAGCAAUGAAGAAGUUGUAUUGGCUAAUAUCCAAUAUAAUUGACGUUAGUUGCAGAAGAAGUACUGGCUAACUCUGUGCCAGCAGCCGCGGUAAUACAGAGAGUGCAGGCGUUAAUCGGAAUUAUUGGGCGUAAAGGGUGUGUAGGUUGUUAAAAAAGUUAGAUGUGAAAUCCCUGGGCUUAACCUAGGAAUUGCAUUUAAUACUUUUUAUCUAGAGUAUUGUAGGGGGAAGUGGAAUUUCCGGUGUAGCGGUGAAAUGCGUAGAUAUCGGAAGGAACACCAGUGGCGAAGGCGACUUCCUGGACAAAUACUGACACUGAGACACGAAAGCGUGGGGAGCAAACAGGAUUAGAUACCCUGGUAGUCCACGCUGUAAACGAUGAAAACUUGCUGUUAGACAUUUAUAUAUGUUUGGUGGCGUAGCUAACGCGUUAAGUUUUCCGCCUGGGGAGUACGAUCGCAAGGUUA